UAAUACGGAGGGCGCAAGCGUUGUUCGGAAUCAUUGGGCGUAAAGCGGGUGCAGGCGGUGAAGUAAGUCGGAUGUGAAAUCCCGGGGCCCAACCCCGGAACUGCAUUCGAAACUGCUCCACUAGAGUCCCGGAGAGGAAGGCGGAAUUCCCGGUGUAGAGGUGAAAUUCGUAGAUAUCGGGAGGAACACCAGUGGCGAAGGCGGCCUUCUGGACGGUGACUGACGCUCAGACCCGAAAGCGUGGGGAGCAAACAGGAUUAGAUACCCUGGUAGUCCACGCCGUAAACGUUGAGUGCUCGUCGACGCGGGUAUUGACCCCUGCGUUGACCAAGCUAACGCAUUAAGCACUCCGCCUGGGGAGUACGGCCGCAAGGCUA
rnacentral:rRNA from 1 species